rnacentral:rRNA from 1 species
GAUGAACGCUGGCGGCGUGCCUAAUACAUGCAAGUCGAGCGAACAGACGAGGAGCUUGCUCCUCUGACGUUAGCGGCGGACGGGUGAGUAACACGUGGAUAACCUACCUAUAAGACUGGGAUAACUUCGGGAAACCGGAGCUAAUACCGGAUAAUAUAUUGAACCGCAUGGUUCAAUAGUGAAAGACGGUUUUGCUGUCACUUAUAGAUGGAUCCGCGCCGCAUUAGCUAGUUGGUAAGGUAACGGCUUACCAAGGCAACGAUGCGUAGCCGACCUGAGAGGGUGACCGGCCACACUGGAACUGAGACACGGUCCAGACUCCUACGGGAGGCAGCAGUAGGGAAUCUUCCGCAAUGGGCGAAAGCUUGACGGAGCAACGCCGCGUGAGUGAUGAAGGUCUUCGGAUCGUAAAACUCUGUUAUUAGGGAAGAACAAAUGUGUAAGUAACUAUGCACGUCUUGACGGUACCUAAUCAGAAAGCCACGGCUAACUACGUG